CUGCAAUGCAUUGUGGGAAAAAGGACCCAAAAAAGGAGGGAAAAGUCAGAGCAAGAGCAGCCAUUAGACUUCUUUCAGGCUUCAUCUGGAUUUUGGACUCUGGAGUUGGAGAAACUGCCUUCAAAUUUCCGUGUGCAGAGCAAUGGCCAAGAAAAGGAAAGACUUCCCUGAGUGAAAAAGAAGAUGAAGAUACAAGCUGGUGAUGAUCCAGAGCAGCUGGUCUCAGGAAAUGAAGAAAAACCCUGAUCACCUUUUCCACAGAAACAAGAAUAAAUUGCGACUAGUCUCAAUGGCUGAGAUGGAGGAGGAACACAGCGACACGUUAACCCGACUGCUGCAGUUCCUGUAUGAACUGAGCAACUCUAAAAAUCCAAGGAAAAAGCUGAGUGUAUUUUAUUUAAAGCUCAGAUGGACCUUGAUGGACUAACAUGCAGGCUGCAUUCAGGACUUUGUCACACUGGUAUAUGAAGAGUGGUAACAAGAGAAAUUGUGCACA